rnacentral:rRNA from 1 species
UACGUAGGGGGCAAGCGUUAUCCGGAUUUACUGGGUGUAAAGGGAGCGUAGACGGCAUGGCAAGUCUGAAGUGAAAGCCCGGGGCUCAACCCCGGGACUGCUUUGGAAACUGUCAGGCUAGAGUGUCGGAGAGGCAAGUGGAAUUCCUAGUGUAGCGGUGAAAUGCGUAGAUAUUAGGAGGAACACCAGUGGCGAAGGCGGCUUGCUGGACGAUGACUGACGUUGAGGCUCGAAAGCGUGGGGAGCAAACAGG